UCAAAUGAAUAAGGGCUUACGGUGGAUACCUAGGCACUCAGAGACGACGAAGGGCGUAGUAACCGACGAAACGCUUCGGGGAGCUGGAAACAAGCUUUGAUCCGAAGAUUCCCCAAUAGGGUAACCUUUAAAACUCCGUAUUGAAUUCAUAGAUACGAGAGAGAUAACUUAGUGAACUGAAACAUCUUAGUAGCUAAAGGAAAAGAAAGCAAACGCGAUUCCCUUAGUAGCGGCGAGCGAAACGGGAACAGCCUAAAUUGUAAGCUUAAACUUACAACGUAGUGGGAAUGUAAUGAUAAAGUUUAUUCUAGGUGAAACAGCUGAAUACUGUACCAUAGAUGGUGAAAGUCCAGUAACUAAAAGAUAAAAAUUUUGUAAAGUCUACAUUAUCCCGAGUAGCAUGGGGCACGUGGAAUCCCGUGUGAAUCUGCGAGGACCACCUCGUAAGGCUAAAUACUCCUGAGUGACCGAUAGCGAAACAGUACCGUGAGGGAAAGGUGAAAAGAACCCCACAAGAGGGGAGUGAAAUAGAUCAUGAAACCGUAAGCUUACAAGCAGUGGGAGUGAAUUGAUUCAUGACCGCGUGCCUGUUGAAGAAUGAGCCGGCGACUUAUAGGUAGUGGCAAGGUUAAGGGGGUUUACCCUGAAGCCGUAGCGAAAGCGAGUCUGAAUAGGGCGAUCGUCCCUGCCUAUGGACCCGAACCCGGGUGAUCUAACCAUGGCCAGGAUGAAGCUUGGGUGAAACGAAGUGGAAGUCCGAACCGACUGAUGUUGAAAAAUCAGCGGAUGAGCUGUGGUUAGGGGUGAAAUACCAAUCGAACUCGGAGCUAGCUGGUUCUCCCCGAAAUGCGUUGAGGCGCAGCGGUUGACUAUGAGCUGUCUAGGGGUAAAGCACUGUUUCGGUGCGGGCUGCGAAAGCGGUACCAAAUCGUAGCAAACUCUGAAUACUAGACAUGCCUUCAGUCAGCCAGUGAGACGGUGGGGGAUAAGCUUCAUCGUCAAGAGGGAAACAGCCCAGAUCACCAGCUAAGGCCCCUAAAUGGCCGCUAAGUGGCAAAGGAGGUGAGAGUGCAGAGACAACCAGGAGGUUUGCCUAGAAGCAGCCAUCCUUGAAAGAGUGCGUAAUAGCUCACUGGUCAAGCGCUCUUGCGCCGAAAAUGAACGGGACUAAGCGGCCUGCCGAAGCUGUGAAAUUUUUAUUAAAAAAUUGGUAGGGGAGCGUUCCGCCUUAGGGUGAAGCAUAAGCGUAAGCUUGUGUGGACGAAGCGGAAGUGAGAAUGUCGGCUUGAGUAACGCAAACAUUGGUGAGAAUCCAAUGCCCCGAAAACCUAAGGGUUCCUCCGCAAGGCUCGUCCACGGAGGGUUAGUCAGGACCUAAGGCAAGGCCGAAAGGCGUAGUCGAUGGAUAAUGGGUUAAUAUUCCUAUACUUUAUUUUAUUUAGUCCCGAGGGACGGAGAAGGCUAAGUUGGCUGGAUGUUGGUUACCAGUUCAAGCAUUUAAGGUGAUGAGAGGUGGAAUAAAAAACACCUUGAGCUAAGGUGUCAGACGAGGGUACUACGGUACCUGAAGCAACUGAUGUCAUACUCCCAAGAAAAGCUCGUACGACACAACGUAUAAAAUAAACCUGUACCCGAAACCGACACAGGUAGGUAGGUAGAGUAUACCAAGGGGCGCGAGAUAACUCUCUCUAAGGAACUCGGCAAAAUGGCCCCGUAACUUCGGGAGAAGGGGUACCCCCUUAGGGGGGUCGCAGUGACCAGGCCCAGGCGACUGUUUAUCAAAAACACAGGUCUCCGCUAAGUCGUAAGACAAUAUAUGGGGGCUGACGCCUGCCCAGUGCCGGAAGGUUAAGGAAGUCGGUUAGCUUAGGCGAAGCUGGCGACCGAAGCCCCGGUGAACGGCGGCCGUAACUAUAACGGUCCUAAGGUGAAGCAAGUUGCCUUAGUAAAACUUAACUAUAUGCUGGAAUAUCCUCCAAAACUUGACAUACUCGUUUUUAAUUCUUCUUCCGCUCUAUUAGGUAAGCCGGAUAGAAACACAAAAGCAUGUGAAAAUUGAUCAUGACAUGGGGACAAUCAGCAGGAAACUCUUCAAGAGGAUCCUCAGAGACUAUACGUUAAGGAGAACACUAGAUGGAUUUAAAUGCACAAUGGGUUGUGGGUUUUACAGAUGGAGAAGGGUGUUUUCAUGUAGGAAUCAAUUCGAAUAAAACAAUGACCUUAGGCUUUCAAGUUCUACCUGAAUUUACAAUUGUUCAGCACGAAAGAGAAAUCAAACUUCUUCAUGCUUUCAAAGACUAUUUUGGAUGCGGUGUAGUACGAAGAAAUCACGGCGAUCGGUUUUGUUACCGCGUCCGAGGACACAAAAAUAUACGCGAUAAGAUUCUUCCAUUUUUUGAAAAACAUCAAUUAAAAACUUUAAAACGUGUUAAUUUUCAAAAGUUUCGUCAGGUUGUUCUUCUUAUGGAACAAAAACAACAUCUAAAUGAUGAAGGUCUGGCACGAAUACGAAGAAUUCAACAAAAAAUGAACAACCAGAGUCAAUUAUCCAAGUGAUCUCAAGAUAGAGUCCAACUAUUAUGGAAACAUUUCUAGAUAUUUGAGCGAAAUUCCUUGUCGGGUAAGUUCCGACCCGCACGAAAGGCGUAACGAUCUGGGCACUGUCUCGGAGAGAGACUCGGUGAAAUAGAAUUGUCUGUGAAGAUGCGGACUACCUGCACCUGGACAGAAAGACCCUAUGAAGCUUUACUGUAGCCUGGAAUUGGCUUCGGGCUCUUCUUGCGCAGCUUAGGUGGAAGGCUGAGAAAGGCAAUUCCGGUUGUCUGGAGCCAUCAGUGAGAUACCACUCUGGGAGAGCUAGGAGUC
rnacentral:rRNA from 1 species